rnacentral:misc_RNA from 1 species
UGCGCAAAUCCAAAGAUUUCGAGGUACCCUUGAACUAGAAUUAUUAAAUUUGUGCUGUGUAAUUCUAUUUGCUUGGCACAUGGUACUGGAAGUUUUUAUUGCUAGAUUCCCAAGUACAAAUGUAACUAUUAUUGAUAGCCAGCUUAGGGAACCAUGUUUUUGAUAGCACCAUUGUUUUCUGUUAUGAGAGUGGCUUUGGUGUAACAAAAAGUUACUCCAUUUGUGACUUUGAAGGUCACAAGUUUGAGCCACAGAAAUAGUCUUUUUGCAAAGUAGGGGUAAGAUUGCGUACAUCAACCCUCAAAGCCCAGAAGUGUGGGAUGUUUUGUGCAUGAGGUCACUCUUUAAUUGUUCUCUGUUAUGGGAACUAGGAACUGGCCCUUUGAUUUGAAAUCUCAUGCUACAUUGUGAUAUUAUUGAAGGAAAAGGAGCCUGAUACUGAGA